rnacentral:lncRNA from 1 species
CAAAAUCGUACCUUCCCUUCUCGUAUAUGUUUUUCCAUCUUACUGUCUUUUAAUAAACAGUUUAUCAAAUGCAAGUAUAAAUAAAAAUCCAUCAAAAUUACUGAUUUUAAACCAAAUGGACACAUGACACACACACACAUUCAUUCAAUCCUAAAACCACAAUAGUUUGAAAACUAAAUUUAUUCAUAAUGCUUCUAUAAAACACCAUUGCAUGCAUAAAAUAUAUUACUAU